UAGAAACGUUACCUGAAGAACUUCCACAGAGCUUUGAUCUGUCAUGUUACUCCUUUGCAGCUGUCUUAGGGAUGCAACUGCAUUGUAAACACCACUAUCACUUAAGUUCAAACAGAAUCUCAGGACUACCCAAGAUAACAUUGGGUGAUAAUAAAACACCUUACUCAAACAGAGACAUUUUGCAUUAUCUUGAUUUGACGCUCUGCAGUGCAUCUGGAUGGGCAGUAAAUAGCCCUUUGGGAAUUUGGGAAGUAACUACAGGAAAGUACUGGAAAGUAAAGUAAGACUGGAGAAUACCCUAUAAGGACAUGGUGGUCAGAGGUAUUUCUUUGAGAGCUGCUGCCACUGUAGUACCAGUAACUGCAUCAUCAUGUGCUGCCUGGAGUCAUCCAAAAU
rnacentral:lncRNA from 1 species